rnacentral:rRNA from 1 species
UACGGGGGGGGCAAGCGUUGUUCGGAAUUACUGGGCGUAAAGGGCUCGUAGGCGGCCAACUAAGUCAGACGUGAAAUCCCCAGGCUCAACCUGGGAACUGCGUCUGACACUGGAUGGCUUGAAUCCGGGAGAGGGAUGCAGAAUUCCAGGUGUAGCGGUGAAAUGCGUUGAUAUCAUCAGGAACACCGGAGGCGAAGGCGGCUCACUGGGGAUUUUCUGACGCUGAGGAACGAAAGCCAGGGGAGCAAACGGG